rnacentral:rRNA from 1 species
AUGAUGAUCUCAUGUGUACAAUCGAAAAAAAACCAUACUGCUGGGUGGCAACAUGCGAACGAGCGAGCGAGCGAGCGAAGCCUCCAUGUCCCUUCGCCGUUGCCCUCGCACAUCAAGUCGCCGCCCUCGCCCUCUCCCUCGCAGCCGCCGCCGAUCCCCUCCCCCAUCUUCCUCCCUCAAAAGCUAACCCGUCUCGCGGUGCGCUACCGCCCGUCGCUACCGCCCCCGCCACCUCCCGUCGCGGGUAGGCGGGAGGAGCCCUGCCCGACCAUGGAGACACUGCCGGCGGCCUCCUCCUCCCCCUCACCUUCUCUCCCUUUCCCAAGGGAGGGAAGGGAAUGGAAGGGAUCCGGCGGCAAGGGGGGGCAGCGCCCAGAUCCGCGGCCGCACCGGCGGGCCGCCGUCCCUCGAGAUCGUGCAUGGAGGUCCGACGCCUACCUCCAAGGAAAGGACGCGCGCCAGCUGCAGGCCAUCUCCGGCGACCUCCGACCAUGGUGCGCGCGCCUCCUUCCCUUGUCUUGUUGCUCGGAUCUGGACCAGCUGCUGCUCCUACUGCUUCAGGUGGACGAGGACGAGCCCUCCCUCAUGGCUGCUGCGGCUGCCUACUCCCUCCUCCUAGCCUGGUGUGGUGAGCUCCACCCCCUUCCCUGCACAUCUCAUCUUUUGAUUGCAAAUGGUCUGGACAUAACUUUGUGCCCAACUUAUCUGAUUGUUGGUUAUUCUGUUUAUGUUGUUCCUUUUGGGCCUACUUCAGAACGGUCGUUGAAGCGAAAUAUCGAUCAUGUUCAUAGAUCAGGGAAUGAAUUUGAUGUGUCACGCCUGACAAAAGCCCAAGAUUACAGAAUCUUUGUGUCGACGUGGAAUGUUGGUGGCCAAUGCCCAUCAAGGGGGACACUAAACAAGAACGCUGGGUCUAGCAUUCAUGCUGGCUAUCACACGCCAUUCCCUGUCCCUGAUCCGGUUGUGGAACUAGAUGCUGAUUUUAAGGUGUCCAGGUAUUGUUUGGUUGCCAGCAAACAGAUGGUUGGCAGAUUUCUCACAGUUUGGGUAACAGGUAUGGCAUGGGAUUCAUUGUUCUGGUUAGAUGAGAUAUAUCAUCUGCAUGAUUCCGAUGGAAAUGCAAAAGAAACAGAACCAACAAUAGUAGUCUACCUUAAAGCUCGAAGAAUUCAUGAGGAAUUCUUGCUAGCAUCUAGAAUUGGAUGCCCUCAGGAAGACUACUUUCACACCGCCGAUGUUGUGAGGACUGGCAGCUCUUCAGUUCAUGCUGCCAAUGUUACAACUUGCAGCAUUGGAAUCAACAUCUGGGAACAAUGCAUGGACAUUUAGAUAUAUAUUUUUAGCAUUCUUCAAGAUCUUGACUUAAUUUCUUUUUACACUGUUAAAUAAUAAAAAUAACAAAAUGUUGUACAAUAGUAGUAUCUGUUAUGUAGUCAAGUUUACUGAAAUCAAAAGAAAACCAAGAAAGGAGAGCCGAAGUUCAAGUCUUGUUCAGCUCCAUUGAUUUCCUCUCUCAAUGGAGUGUUAGUCCUCUGAAUAUUUUUAUUCCUCUGAUCUCAAACAUUGUCUACACAAGAGUCGAAGCUUUGUCUGCCACCGCUCUUCAGUUCACACCGCCGAUGUUGUGAGGACUGGCAGCUCUUCAGUUCAUGCUGCCAAUGUUGUGAGGACUGGCAGGACUUCAAUGGGUGCUGAGGCUGCAACCUAGGGCGAGGGCGUCGGUGCGUUGAGAUGGUGGGGCCACGUCAGUGGGAGGACGUGAGGCGGCGAUGUCCACCCGGAUCUAUAGCCGCAACAGAAGAACAACUCAGAGAGGACGUGCAGCUCCUGUGUGUAGUAGAUAAAUCGCUGCCCAGAUAAAUCACCGGGACACUACCAAGUGUGUCGUCAGUAGGAUAAAAAAUCUUGAGCGUGCCUCAGGUGCGACUCUAGCUAUUGAAAAUCAAAGAACCUGAAUACUUCCGGAGUUUGAUAAGGCUUUACGGUGAGUUCUCAUAGUGGUCUAUGUGCAUGAUGGGAUGCUGGUACUGCUGUUCUACUUUUACUGCUGUUGUCAUUAAGCAGAUUUUGUCAAAGCAAUUGCUAUGUGUAUUAAUUUGGAUAGGAUCAGUUAAAGUACAUCUCAUUCAACGGCGUUUUUUGUCGUGUGUUUUAACUUUUUAUUAUUAGUAGCAGUGGUUUCUAUAGCUAGCCCAAUGAUGAUCCCCACUUUAACCGACAUGAUGUCAAAGCUCAAGGCUAUCAGUGACCAUCCAUAUAGCUCAUCAAGUCAUCUUCAGAUCACUAGCCCUAAUGGUGUCAAGCUCAAGGAUAUCUACGAGCACUCGAACCUCCUGCAUGACGAAGUCACUCGAUGAGGAUGUGCUUACCCAGGAGAAUGAACCUAUUGAUGCUCCCCUUGCAGCCGGAAGUAUCUUGAAAGCUGCGAAAACCUCAUACAUGAGCAUAUCCGCGAUGCAAGGAGCUUUUGUGGUGACUCGGAGGAGGUAGCAGGGGGAGGAAGAGAAGGGAUAGGUUCCAUUACGAUCUUCUGUUGACACAAUGGUCGUCGGUGGCGAGAACAUGAGGACCAUGGUUACAAUUUAUAGACAUGUAUUGACCUAUUGCGGCUAUAGAGUAUGCCUAAGCCAAUGGCCAGACAUCGGCUGUUCGGAUCCACCCUUAAGCCGAGGCACAAGUCCAUUGCGGUUGAUUAUUGUUUGGGGAUUCAGUUUCAUGGUGAGAUAUGAUUUUCUGGAUCUUGUUAUCGCUGAACUGUGAUUUGUUGGUUUGGGAACUAAAGUUGGUUGCUUGCAUCAAGGGGAUUCAUAUUGGUUGAAACCUUGAAGUUGAACAUGAAGGGCACACAUUUGAUUUCCAUUGGGUGUUGCCCUUGUUUAGCACAUUAGUAGAUGGUCUCUUACUGGAUUAUGGCAGUAGUAGUGUGGUAUUGUUGUGAAUUUUGUUUUCUUCUUUUACUAGACCAAUUGUUUCAAAGAAUUUUGAGAUGCUACAAUACUGAUAGACAUGUGGCUAUCCCUUCAUUUUAUCAAGGAUGACUAUUGUUGAUGAAAGGACAUUUACAUAUUUAUAGGUUGCAACCAGAUCAAUGACCGGUUAAUCUAACACCCAGUUUUAAAGAGAGAACAAAGUAGGAAGGGUGUGUGAUGGCGCUGGGGCCAUGUGUUGGAUAUAACAUGUUGGAUAGUCUGGACAACCAAAUUUCUCCCCUAUAUAUGUGCUGGAUUUGGGGGAGCUCUAACUGUUCAAACAGUUGGAAUUUUCAAGAGCCCACUGAGCGCCUAUUUGAUGUCCGAACACGCGCGGGCGUACGAGGGAGAAAUGAGCGCCGACCUUGGGGACAAUCUUAAUCAUUUGUUUGAUUCAUGUAUAUGCAUUGUAGCCCGUAGCAAUGCACGGGCAUUCUACUAGGUGAGUUGAGGCAGACAGCAAGGGCCGAGGUUGACAAAUAAAAUGCCAUUGUGAUGGUAAGGAAAAUAUCAGGUUCUAAUUAGUGGAGGACUACAAAAGUUAAAGAGGUCUUGAUGAGAUGAUUGACAUGACAUGAAUAGUUAAUUUGACAUGUAUCAUGGGCACUUCUUCAUUAUUCAGUUGUCUCGCUUGAAUUUGUGGACCAACUGCUGGACAUAGUUCAGUUUUCACAGAUAGCAAAAGCUGCAAAACUGGGUGUGCUAGAUUUUGUUCAAAGUGCAACUUUUAUUUGAUAAAGCCGAUCAGGUUUACAUGUGUAGAUCAAUGCAGUACCAACUGUAAAAGAGUUACAACGCAAGGUGAAGAGUCUCCUUUUUUGUAUUACACUGGGAUUGAACCUGCAUGUUGCUGGGGCAACCCUCUUUUAUUUUGGUCUUCUCUAUUUUCUGGUGUAUCUUUGUUUAUCAAAAAUAGUUGUCUGCCCUGCCCUCGACAAUUCGCAGUGUGUGCACGGCAUCUUAUAUACACUAUGGCUGGCUAAUUUAGAUGAUUA